UUCCAGGCAAGAGUACUGGAGUCGGCCUGUGGACUAGAAAAUAUUUAAUGCAAUUAUUUGCGUUCUAUUCAGAUUUUGUACAGUGAGGGAACCUUGGCAGGCUACAUACAGUCCACGGGGUCGGAAAGAGUCAGACAGGACUGAGCACGCAGUCAACCACAGUGAGGGAAAGGUGUGCUAGUUAUCUCCGUGAUUUAAAAAGACGUACAAACGGUACCUGCUGAUAAGUUAGGAAAUUGACAAAGUUCUCUUUCAAGAAUUUGAAAAGCAUGAACCUUGCCCCGCCUUAUAGGACACUUUCCUGGUUCAAAUCUCUGCACCUUUUGUCGAUUUCAAGGGCGCAUCUGAUAACUUCCCGCAGGAGCCUGGACAGGCGUCCCGCAGCCAGGGCAGUCCGAGCAGCCGGG
rnacentral:lncRNA from 1 species